rnacentral:ncRNA from 2 species
UAGCACCAUUAGAAAUCGGUUA